CUAGCAAAGCUGCCAGCAUGUUCUCUGGGACCCAAGAAAAAUGUGCUUCUUGCAGUAAAACAGUGUAUCCGUUGGAGAAGGUUGGAUCCAAGCAUUCAAUAAGUCAUAUCGUAUUGUGAUAUUGUGUGUGGAGAGUUACAAUCUCCCCUCCCCCCCCCCCCCCCCCCCCCCCCCCGCCCCCCCUCCUUCAAAUUGUAUCUCCCAUUGCUCUCCUUUUCCUCUGUUCCCUGUAAACCUAGGUCGUUUGUUAGGGUUUAUUAUAUUAUAUGCUUG
rnacentral:lncRNA from 1 species